rnacentral:misc_RNA from 1 species
UUGAAAUUGUCACCCGCUCCUAAUAUGUAAUAUAGCUCGCUUCAAGCUUGAGCUGAAGCGCUCACAGGUAAUGAUAUAGUUACUUGUUUUCAUACUUCAGAAUCAAUUAAGAGGUUCACUAAUCUCCAGGAGUUCAUUACAGAGCCCUGUGAAGACUGAUGAUUCAGUUUCAAUAGGCCUGAACUUGAUGAGAGCUGAAGGAA